rnacentral:tRNA from 1 species
UCCGGGGUGGCGGAACAGGCAGACGCACAGGACUUAAAAUACUGGCGGUGGGUGACGCACCCGUGCGGGGUCGACCCGCCUCGGCACCA